UACUUCGAUAGUUUGAGAAUGUCCUAAA
rnacentral:sRNA from 1 species